rnacentral:rRNA from 1 species
ACCAGAGAUGGAUUGGUGCCUCGGGAACUCUGACACAGGUGCUGCAUGGCUGUCGUCAGCCCGUGUCGUGAGAUGUUGGGUUAAGUCCCGUAAACGAGCGCAACCCUUGUCCUUAGUUACCAGCACGUUAUGGUGGGCACUCUAAGGAGACUGCCGGUGACAAACCGGAGGAAGGUGGGGAUGACGUCAAGUCAUCAUGGCCCUUACGGCCUGGGCUACACACGUGCUACAAUGGUCGGUACAAAGGGUUGCCAAGCCGCGAGGUGGAGCUAAUCCCAUAAAAACCGAUCGUAGUCCGGAUCGCAGUCUGCAACUCGACUGCGUGAAGUCGGAAUCGCUAGUAAUCGUGAAUCAGAAUGUCACGGUGAAUACGUUCCGGGCCUU